GAUGAACGCUGGCGGCGUGCUUAACACAUGCAAGUCGAACGGGAUCCCAGGAGCUUGCUCCUGGGUGAGAGUGGCGAACGGGUGAGUAAUGCGUGACCGACCUGCCCCAUACACCGGAAUAGCUCCUGGAAACGGGUGGUAAUGCCGGAUGCUCCGACAUGACGCAUGUCGUGUCGGGAAAGAUUCUAUCGGUAUGGGAUGGGGUCGCGUCCUAUCAGCUUGAUGGCGGGGUAACGGCCCACCAUGGCUUCGACGGGUAGCCGGCCUGAGAGGGCGACCGGCCACAUUGGGACUGAGAUACGGCCCAGACUCCUACGGGAGGCAGCAGUGGGGAAUAUUGCACAAUGGGCGCAAGCCUGAUGCAGCGACGCCGCGUGCGGGAUGACGGCCUUCGGGUUGUAAACCGCUUUUGACUGGGUGCAAGCCCUUCGGGGUGAGUGUACCUUUCGAAUAAG
rnacentral:rRNA from 1 species